rnacentral:lncRNA from 1 species
GAUUUUUAAAACAUCUUGAAAUACAUAGACUAUUUUGGAAUUGUGGAAUUAGCCAUUAUUGACCACUUCAGAAAUCCAGAGCGCUUGAAAAGCAAUUCCAGUUUUAUUUUAGGACUUUGAGAGAUAAUUGGCAACGCCACGGCUCAGCCAAUCAUUUUCCUACUCUGCAGCUCAAACGGUAAGUAGUGUCCUUAAAUGGUCCUUUAAGCGUCCACAUGUAACGAUUAGAACUGCAUAAACCUCUCUUCGUUUGCGCUAACUAUUGUGAAGAAGGCAAACUCUAAAUUCGAUUCGAGGAUCUGUUGUUGGUUUGUUUUGUUUUUUUUAAUGGAACCGAUGAGGAAAACUGGGUAAUCUGCUGGUGACCUGUGAUGGGUAAUUUCACGCAACGCCUUACUACCUGCUCACCCUCUCUCUUUUGACUGCAAUAGAAUCGGAGAGAGAUCGAGGAGAAGAAAUAGAGGGUGAAGACUGAUUACCUGCUAUUCACCCGGCCUCACCCUUCUCACCUCAACUGGGUUUCAAAAACCCCAAUUCCGUCCCUCUCGGUACUUUUCAGGAAACUUUUUAGGAGUGCGACGAUAGCAUCAUCCACAGUAUCAGAAGCCUUUCAGUUGUGCUACUUAGUAUCCCGGCUCUGCCACUCGUCAGCCGUGUGACUGUGGGCAAGUCACUUCACUUCUCUGUGCCUCAGUGACCUCAUCUGUAAAACGGGGAUUAACGGUGAGCCUCACGUGGGACAACCCGAUGACCCGGUAUCUCCCCCAGCGCUUAACAAAUGCCAACAUUAUUAAUUUAGCACCGCUACAUUAGGAAGGCGAUUCCCGCUCCAACGGCCGGGAACCUCGGUUCACCUUUUGGUAAAGAAUACUCUUACGAAGAACCGGUAUUCCCUGACAUCCUCCUCUCUGGCCAUAAUAGCUCUCCCUUCACCGAGACCCCUCUGAUGAUUCGGUUCCCAACUCAUACCCCAUUCCACGGCUUCCCCGGUGCCAAACCCUACGGCUAGCGACGGGCGUUCUGCACGCGCAUCUGGAUCGAAAGGGGCGUGACGUGGAAGUGAUAGCUGAGACCGAAUGUGCGGGAUGGAAAAUUUCAAAGGUAAGAUCCAUCCUUGCUCUCCAACUGUCUCCCUUCCCCUCCCCGAGCACUGUGCUCAUUUGUAUAUAUUUUUAUUACCUUAUUUAUUUUGCUAAUGAGGUGUCCAUCCCCUUCAUUCUAUUUGUCGCGAUUAAGUUGUCUUGCUUUUGUCCGUCUGUCUCCCCCGAUUAGACUGUGAGC